CGCGCUGUAGUACAUGACGGUGUUAAUCCCUGACAGUUGUUGAAACAUCUGCAGACCACAACCCACAAUUAAGGCUCUUCGAGUUGGAGGGUAUGUUAGCAUUCUGCAGAUCACAGGUCCAGCUGCUCCAACUUCUUUUUCUUCUUCUUCAAUGUUGUUUUUGAUACUGUCAUACUCCUCAUCGAUUGCCUGGUUGCCACGCAUCUGAGACAGAAUCCUCCGCGCUCUCUGAGUCUGCCCUUUCUGAAUCAGCCAGCGGGGGCUUUCAGGGAGAAACAGGAAACCAAAGAACUGUAUAACUGCUGGUACAGCUGACAGCCCCAACAUGUACCUCCAUCCAUCCUUCACGAGGUAGCUGAACAGUCCAUCCACGACGCUUGCAAAAAACUGCCCUCCAGUGAUGAACAGAGUGUUAAUGGUGACUAAUCUGCCUCUUAAGUGCGGUGGAGCAACUUCUGCGAUGUACACAGGCACUGUCAUAGAUGCU
rnacentral:lncRNA from 1 species